AGAGUUUGAUCAUGGCUCAGAACGAACGCUGGUAGCGUGGAUUAGGCAUGCAAGUCGAACGGGAUCGGCCGGUUAGCAAUAAUCGGCCGUGAGAGUGGCGGACUGGGGAGGAACACGUGAGCAACCUGCCCCCGGGACGGGGGAAAACCUCUGGAAACGGAGGCUAAUACCGGAUGUGGCGCCUGGCGGCAUCGCCGGAGCGUCAAAGGGGGCCCGCAAGGGCUCUCGCCUGGGGGAGGGGCUCGCGCACCAUCAGCUUGUUGGCGGGGUAACGGCCCACCAAGGCUUACGGUUAGCUGGUCUGAGAGGAUGACCAGCCCCACUGGGACUGAGAUACUGCCCAGACUCCUACGGGAGGCUGCAGUCGAGGAUCAUUUGCAAUGGGCGAAAGCCUGACAAUGCGACGCUGCGUGGAGGAUGAAGGCCUUCGGGUUGUAAACUCCUGUCAUGGGGGAACAGGCGAGGGGACCUAAUACGUCCCUUAGCUGAGUGUACCCCAAGAGGAAUUGGCGGCUAACUCUGUGCCAGCCGCCGC
rnacentral:rRNA from 1 species